rnacentral:rRNA from 1 species
UACAGAGGUCCCAAGCGUUGUUCGGAUUCAUUGGGCGUAAAGGGCGCGUAGGCGGCCAACUAAGUCAGACGUGAAAUCCCCUGGCUCAACCAGGGAACUGCGUCUGAUACUGGAUGGCUUGAAUCCGGGAGAGGGAUGUGGAAUUCCAGGUGUAGCGGUGAAAUGCGUAGAUAUCUGGAGGAACACCGGUGGCGAAGGCGGCAUCCUGGACCGGUAUUGACGCUGAGGCGCGAAAGCCAGGGGAGCAAACGGG